rnacentral:rRNA from 1 species
CCUACGGGAGGCAGCAGUGGGGGAUAUUGCACAAUGGGGGAAACCCUGAUGCAGCGACGCCGCGUGUGGGAAGACGGUCCUAUGGAUUGUAAACCACUGUCCCCAGGGACGAAGAUGACGGUACCUGGGGAGGAAGCUCCGGCUAACUACGUGCCAGCAGCCGCGGUAAUACGUAGGGAGCGAGCGUUGUCCGGAAUUACUGUGGGGAAAGGGAGCGUAGGCGGGACUGCAAGUUGGGUGUCAAAUCGACCGGCUCAACCGGUCGCCGCACUCAAAACUGCAGUUCGUGAGUGAAGUAGAGGCAGGCGGAAUUCCUAGUGUAGCGGUGAAAUGCGUAGAUAUUAGGAGGAACACCAGUGGCGAAGGCGGCCUGCUGGGCUUUUACUGACGCUGAGGCUCGAAAGUGUGGGGAGCAAACAGGAUUAGAUACCCGUGUAGUC